rnacentral:rRNA from 1 species
UACGAAGGGGGCUAGCGUUGCUCGGAAUCACUGGGCGUAAAGGGCGCGUAGGCGGCUUUAUAAGUCGGGGGUGAAAGCCUGUGGCUCAACCACAGAAUUGCCUUCGAUACUGUAGAGCUUGAGACCGGAAGAGGUAAGUGGAACUGCGAGUGUAGAGGUGAAAUUCGUAGAUAUUCGCAAGAACACCAGUGGCGAAGGCGGCUUACUGGUCCGGUUCUGACGCUGAGGUGCGAAAGCGUGGGGAGCAAACAGG